AACGAACGCUGGCGGCAGGCCUAACACAUGCAAGUCGAGCGAGGACUUCGGUUCUAGCGGCGGACGGGUGAGUAACACGUGGAUAACCUACCUAUAAGACUGGAUUACCUCGGGAAACCGGAGCUAAUACCGGAUAACAUGUUGGACCCCCUGGUUCAACCGUGAAAGACGGUUUUGCUGUCACUUAUAGAUUGAUCCGCGCCGCAUUAGCUAGUUGGUAAGGUAACGGCUUACCAAGGCAACGAUGCGUAGCCGACCUGAGAGGGUGAUCGGCCCAACUGGAACUGAGACACGGUCCAGACUCCUACGGGAGGCAGCAGUAGGGAAUCUUCCGCAAUGGGCGAAAGCCUGACGGAGCAACGCCGCGUGAGUGAAGAAGGUCUUCGGAUCGUAAAACUCUGUUAUUAGGGAAGAACAAAUGUGUAAGUAACUAUGCACGUCUUGACGGUACCUAAUCAGAAAGCCACGGCUAACUACGU
rnacentral:rRNA from 1 species